rnacentral:rRNA from 1 species
CCUACGGGAGGCAGCAGUGAGGAAUAUUGGUCAAUGGACGAGAGUCUGAACCAGCCAAGUAGCGUGAAGGAUGACUGCCCUAUGGGUUGUAAACUUCUUUUAUAUGGGAAUAAAAUGCUCCACGUGUGGGAUUUUGUAUGUACCAUAUGAAUAAGGAUCGGCUAACUCCGUGCCAGCAGCCGCGGUAAUACGGAGGAUCCGAGCGUUAUCCGGAUUUAUUGGGUUUAAAGGGAGCGUAGGUGGGUUGUUAAGUCAGUUGUGAAAGUUUGCGGCUCAACCGUAAAAUUGCAGUUGAAACUGGCAGUCUUGAGUACAGUAGAGGUGGGCGGAAUUCGUGGUGUAGCGGUGAAAUGCUUAGAUAUCACGAAGAACUCCGAUUGCGAAGGCAGUUCACUGGACUGCAACUGACACUGAGGCUCGAAAGUGUGGGUAUCAAACAGGAUUAGAUACCCGAGUAGUC